CCUCCCUCCGCCCUCCGCCCGGGGGCGGGCCGGGCUCGAGGUCGCUCCUGGCCGCUCGAGGCCGCUGCGGGCCGGGCGGGGGCAGAGGCGGGCUUCCCCGCCUGCGCCCCUCGCGACCACUAGGGGACGCCCUGCUCGUCCCGCGGGCCGCCGCCGACCCUCGCCGCAGCCCCGGGAGCCCUCCCCUCCGCGGCGCCGCCCGGGGACCAGGGGUGGGGCGGGAGGAGGAAAGGGGCCUCUUUGCAGCAGCCCCAAUUCUGUAACCACAGGGGACCGAGGGGACAUAAAGCCACGGGAGAGAAGGAGGGGACCAGGCAUGGACUGGGUGCAAAAUUUAAGGGGACAAGGAAAGACUCGCUCUGAAGGAAAAGAAAAUCAAACCAGUGAGUCUCCCUCGAAUGAUGCAGUCUGGACUCAGGAAAGCCACAAAGAUUGCGUACAAGAUGCACCCUUGGCCACCAUCUUCCCAGACCCUUGACAGUGAUGGAGACCUGACAGAGCAACCCCAGGUUGCCCCAGGGAGGCCACCUUCUCUUGGAGGAUGCUCAGAAGCUGUCGGGCAAGCUCCAACAUUUCAGUUGUUGUCCAAAGAGAGCAAGGACAGGUGGGGAGGAAAGGCCCAGCGUCGUGAAAAUCAGGACCGCAGAGACCCAGACCUGGCCACGGCUGGGGGAAAAACGCCAGGAGGGAUAGGCCAGGCAGACCCUCGGCAGAGGGGGAAGGAAGCAGGGGCACAGAUGGUGGGAUGGUGGGGAGACACGAGGUUUCUGGGGGCCAUGAGACAGAAAAGGAGACGAAGGGGGAAACUGAGAUUAAAGAGAAAUGGGGGUUGAGGUGGGGAGAGAGCCAAGGGCAGUGCAUGCAGGAUGGGCCAAGACUUCCCACUUGUCCUGGGGCCCCCAGAGAGGCACUGCACCCCCCGGCCCAUGUUCACGGGAUGCUGAGGAAGCACCCUAUCUUUUCCCAGGAAAGGUUCGGAACUGGAAAGCUCCAGGCCAGGACGGACCGGGUAAGGUGGCUAAAAGCCAUGCACCUUAAAUUGGACACGCUCACCUGCCCCCAAGUCCCAGACAUCCACUGCCGUCCCCCUACCAUCCCCACAUUCUCUCCUAUAAUGUGGGACCAUGAAAGAUGAAUUUUAGGACACCCAUCUGGGAGCACAUGUUUCAGGGCCCAGACCUGCCUCCUUGCUGAGCCAUCUCGGGUUUGGACGGGGAGAAACUGAGGCACGAGUCAUGGAGAAUCACUGUGGAAGCGAGCGAAGGCCGCGGGUGUUCACCCAGCUCGAGGAGCAAGAGAGUCAGGCCCCACCUGUCCGCCCCCAAUCCUAUCGGCCAUUGCAACUUUGGUUUGGUUUGGGUGUUUUUUAAUAAACAUCCCUUUUUCUGAGAUGCUUUUCCUGGUUUAUCAUCUGUAUGUAACCACAGCACCAGAUGACCGUGUGGAUUCAUAGGGAUCUGGGGACCAGCACAGACCUACAGGACGACUGAGUGACAGGCCCUGGGCUCCGCCUGGCCCUGCUCUGCCUGACAAGCUGGAUGGAAACUGAUAAAGGACCAGUCAUAGCUUCAGAUGACAAAACUGGGCUAGGCCGGAUGAUGAACAAGAAGGCAUUUAACGCGGGCAA